rnacentral:rRNA from 1 species
CCCUUAGAUGUUCUGGGCCGCACGCGUGCUACACUGACCGGCGCAACAAGUUUCUUUCCUUGGCUCGAUAGGCCUGGGUAAUCUUUGAACGCCGGUCGUGAUGGGGAUAGAUCCUUGCAAUUUUUGGUCUUCAACGAGGAAUUCCUAGUAAACGCAAGUCAUCAACUUGCAUUGAUUACGUCCCUGCCCUUUGUACACACCGCCCGUCGCACCUACCGAUUGAAUGGUCCGGUGAAGCCUCCGGAUUGGCGCGCACCUCGGUGCCGCCGAGAAGUUGGCUAAACCUUACCAUUUAGAGGAAGGUGAAGUCGUANCA